UCCACAUCCACCUACUCCUCCACCAUCUUGUUCUCUUCCAGUGUUUCAGAUCCAGGAUAAGGAACUCAGGUUACCAACUGAUCGGUGAUGAUGAGGAUUACAUCAACUGAAAGCAGACUGAGACUUAAAACUGCCAGCUCCCCCACUUCUCAAGCCUUCAGAUUUGGACUGGAACCAUA